CCUUCGGGUUGUAAACCUCUUUCAGCACAGACCAAGGCUAUCUUUUUGGGUGGUUGAGUGUAUGUGCAGAAGAAGCACCGGCUAACUACGUGC
rnacentral:rRNA from 1 species